CCUACGGGAGGCAGCAGUGAGGAAUAUUUGUCAAUGGCCGUAAGGCUGAACCAGCCAAGUCGCGUGAAGGAAGAAGGAUCUAUGGUUUGUAAACUUCUUUUAUAGGGGAAUAAAGGUAUCCACGUGUGGAUAUUUGCAUGUACCCUAUGAAUAAGCAUCGGCUAACUCCGUGCCAGGAGCCGCGGUAAUACGGAGGAUGCGAGCGUUAUACGGAUUUAUUGGGUUUAAAGGGGUCGUAGGUUGUUUGUUAAGUCAGCGGUGAAAGUUUGUGGCUCAACCAUAAAAUUGCCGUUGAAACUGGAAGACGUGAGUGUGUUUGAGGUAGGCGGAAUGCGUGGUGUAGCGGUGAAAUGCAUAGAUAUCACGCAGAACUCCGAUUGCGAAGGCAGCUUACUAAGCCAUAACUGACACUGAAGCACGAAAGCGUGGGGAUCAAACAGGAUUAGAUACCCCAGUAGUC
rnacentral:rRNA from 1 species